GAUGAACGCUGGCGGCGUGCCUAAUACAUGCAAGUCGAGCGAAGCGGGGACGGGUGAGUAAUACGUGGAUAACUUCCUAUAAGACUGGGAUAACUUCGGGAAACCGGAGCUAAACCGGAUGGUUAUCGAUGGAUAUGCGCUGCAUUAGCUAGUAGGUAAGGUAACGGCUUACCAAGGCAACGAGGCAUAGCCGACCUGAGAGGGUGAUCGGCCACACUGGAACUGAGACACGGUCCAGACUCCUACGGGAGGCAGCAGUGGGGAAUCUUCCGCAAUGGGCGAAAGCCUGACGCAGCAACGCCGCGUGAAUGAUGAAGGUCUUCGGAUCGUAAAGCUCUGUUAUUAGGGAAGCGGUACCUAAUCAGAAAGCCACGGCUAACUACGUGCCAGCAGCCGCGGUAAUUC
rnacentral:rRNA from 1 species